AUUGAACGCUGGCGGCAUGCCUUACACAUGCAAGUCGAACGGUAACGCGGGGCAACCUGGCGACGAGUGGCGAACGAGUGAGUAGUGCAUCGGAACGUGCCCAGUUGUGGGGGAUAACUGCUCGAAAGAGCAGCUAAUACCGCAUACGACCUGAGGGUGAAAGCGGGGGAUCGCAAGACCUCGCGCAAUUGGAGCGGCCGAUGUCGGAUUAGCUAGUCGGUGGGGUAAAGGCCCACCAAGGCGACGAUCCGUAGCUGGUCUGAGAGGACGACCAGCCACACUGGGACUGAGACACGGCCCAGACUCCUACGGGAGGCAGCAGUGGGGAAUUUUGGACAAUGGACGCAAGUCUGAUCCAGCCAUGCCGCGUGCGGGAAGAAGGCCUUCGGGUUGUAAACCGCUUUUGUCAGGGAAGAAAUCUUCUGGGUUAAUACCUCGGGAGGAUGACGGUACCUGAAGAAUAAGCACCGGCUAACUACGUGCCAGCCGCCGCAGUAAAAC
rnacentral:rRNA from 1 species